rnacentral:rRNA from 1 species
GCAUAUCAAUAAGCGGAGGAAAAGAAACUAACAAGGAUUCCCUUAGUAGCGGCGAGCGAAGCGGGAUGAGCUCAAAUUUGAAAUCUGGCGUCUUUCAGGCGUCCGAGUUGUAAUCUAUAGAAGCGUUUUCUAUGCUGGACCGUGUCCAAGUCCCUUGGAACAGGGUAUCAAAGAGGGUGACAAUCCCGUACUUGACACGACCACCAGUGUUCUGUGAUACGUUUUCUACGAGUCGAGUUGUUUGGGAAUGCAGCUCAAAAUGGGUGGUAAAUUCCAUCUAAAGCUAAAUAUUGGCGAGAGACCGAUAGCGAACAAGUACCGUGAGGGAAAGAUGAAAAGCACUUUGGAAAGAGAGUUAAACAGUACGUGAAAUUGUUGAAAGGGAAACGAUUGAAGUCAGUCGUGUCUAUUGGUUUCAGCCGGUUCUGCCGGUGUACUACCUUUAGACGGGUCAACAUCAGUUUUGGACGGCAGAUAAGAGCAGUUUGAAUGUAGCACCUCCGGGUGUGUUAUAGCUUUCUGUUGCAUAUGCUGUCCGAGACUGAGGACUGCAGCUCGCCUUUUAGGCCGGGGUUCGCCCACGUUCGAGCUUAGGAUGUUGACAUAAUGGCUUUAAACGACCCG